AGGAAAGCAAAAAGAAGAAUACCUGAUGGAAGAUGCUGCGAGGGAUUGUUUGCCAUUGCUUUGGAGAGUUCACUCAAAAAUAAAGAUCCGAUUGUUUGAAUUAAAUCCCUUUU